rnacentral:rRNA from 1 species
CUCUGCAAAAGGGAGCCGGAGACGGCGCCACACUUUAUGUUCCAGUGUAGGUUCUCCAUGCGCAUUUGGAAUGCGGUGAGAUGUUGGCUUGACACGCCGGAGCUCGACACCGCCGACUGGGCUGGAAUCUCUUCGGUCCAUGAGUGGUGGACUAGAGCGGUCCUUGGUCACGGACAUCGGGGGAAGGCGGUCUCUUCGCUUAUAAUGCUAGUCUCUUGGGAGGUUUGGAAAGAGAGAAACGCGAGGGUGUUCCAGAAGAAAUCCUCGAUGCCUACCAUGGUGAUAGAGGGCAUCAAGGUGGAGGCCAGAAAUUGGGUUUUGGCCGGGGCUAAACACUUGGGAUCCUUGAUGCCGUGA